AAUUUCCUUCGSGGGGGGNSWGCCAGUAGGGAAUCUUCCGCAAUGGGCGAAAGCCUGACGGAGCAAUGCCGCGUGAGUGAUGAAGGUUUUCGGAUCGUAAAGCUCUGUUGCCAGGGAAGAACGCUUGGGAGAGUAACUGCUCUCAAGGUGACGGUACCUGAGAAGAAAGCCCCGGCUAACUACGUGCCAGCAGCCGCGGUAAUACGUAGGGGGCAAGCGUUGUCCGGAAUUAUUGGGCGUAAAGCGCGCGCAGGCGGUCAUUUAAGUCUGGUGUUUAAUCCCGGGGCUCAACCCCGGAUCGCACUGGAAACUGGGUGACUUGAGUGCAGAAGAGGAGAGUGGAAUUCCACGUGUAGCGGUGAAAUGCGUAGAUAUGUGGAGGAACACCAGUGGCGAAGGCGACUCUCUGGGCUGUAACUGACGCUGAGGCGCGAAAGCGUGGGGAGCAAACAGGAUUAGWCCCCCCSGGUGNRRAYCMA
rnacentral:rRNA from 1 species